rnacentral:siRNA from 1 species
UGUCCUUGUUUCCUUGUUCUGCUU